CCUACGGGUGGCAGCAGUGAGGAAUAUUGGUCAAUGGCCGGGAGGCUGAACCAGCCAAGUCGCGUGAGGGAAGACGGCCCUACGGGUUGUAAACCUCUUUUGUCAGGGAGCAAGGUGCAGGUCGGGACCUGCUGUGAGAGUACCUUAUGAAAAAGCAUCGGCUAAUUCCGUGCCAGCGGCCGCGGUAAUACGGAGGUUGCGAGGGUUACCCGGAUUUAUUGGGUUUAAAGGGUGCGAAGGGGGAGGCACAAGUUAGUGGGAAAAUCUCGGGGCUCAACCCGGCUCCGCCGUUGAAACUGUGUGCAUUGAGUGCAGGAAGGGUAGGCGGAAUGCGUGGUGUAGCGGUGAAAUGCGUAGAUAUCACGAAGAACUCCGAUCGCGAAGGCAGCCUACCGGAGCGCAACUGACGCUCAUGCACGAAAGCGUGGGUAUCGAACAGGAUUAGAUACCCUGGUAGUC
rnacentral:rRNA from 1 species